UGGGGGAUAUUGCACAAUGGGCGCAAGCCUGAUGCAGCAACGCCGCGUGAGGGAAGACGGUUUUCGGAUUGUAAACCUCUGUUCUUGGUGAAGAAACAAAUGACGGUAGCCAAGCAGCAAGCCACGGCUAACUACGUGCCAGCAGCCGCGGUAAUACGUAGGUGGCAAGCGUUGUCCGGAAUUACUGGGUGUAAAGGGAGCGCAGGCGGGACAGUAAGUCAGCUGUGAAAACUAUGGGCUCAACCCAUAGACUGCAGUUGAAACUAUUGUUCUUGAGUGAAGUAGAGGUAGGCGGAAUUCCGAGUGUAGCGGUGAAAUGCGUAGAUAUUCGGAGGAACACCAGUGGCGAAGGCGGCCUACUGGGCUUUAACUGACGCUGAGGCUCGAAAGUGUGGGGAGCAAACA
rnacentral:rRNA from 1 species